rnacentral:rRNA from 1 species
AUACGGAGGGUCCAAGCGUUAUCCGGAUUUACUGGGUUUAAAGGGUACGCAGGCGGUAAUUUAAGUCAGUGGUGAAAGCCUACAGCUCAACUGUAGAACUGCCAUUGAAACUGAAUUACUUGAGUAUGGUAGAGGUAGGCGGAAUACAACAUGUAGCGGUGAAAUGCAUAGAUAUGUUGUAGAACACCGAUUGCGAAGGCAGCUUACUAAACCAUUACUGACGCUCAUGUACGAAAGCGUGGGGAGCGAACAGGAUUAGAAACCCCUAGUAGUCC